GACAACCAACCAGGAAGCAGUGCUAAAAGUAGAUCUUUGCUCUGGUACUUGGGUACUUCCCUUGUCCUUCGAGUGCACUGAUUCCGGGAAGGCAGCACCGUUUCUCUCCUGACACAGUGCAAGCAAUGACCGUGUGACAGAGACGGAUGGAGUCUGCUUGGCCUGUGCAGAUGCAUUUUGUAAUCUCUACAUGAUGCCUUGCACGUGUGCGCCUGCCAGAACUUUUCAGUUUCCAGGCAACAGCAAAUAUUUCUCCUGAAUACUCUGGAUGAGCAGAUGCCAACGUUGAUUCACAGGAAAAGGAUGUAGCCACGCAAGCCAUAGAAAUAUUGUUUGGGAUGGUAGCCACGGCCCUAAGGACACAUUAAGCAAUAUGGAACAAACGCCAAUGAAGCUCUUAAAGCUCUUGCUGUGUUUGCUAUAAAGAGAUUUCUUGAGCAGUCUGAGCAAUUUUUCUGACCAGAAAAACACUUCCAGUGUGGAUGAAAACAGAACUGGAGAUGUUUUGAAAACAUGUAGAAGUUUGUUUCGAAAGCAAGCAGUUGGUCUGAACUCACGAUUCCCAAGCCACCUCUCAGGCAGAGGGAGUUGAUUACUGAUAGCCUUGAAUGUCUCCAGCACCGAGGUGGCAAUGAAAAUUGAUCAGGGAUCCAGCCUGUUCCUCUGCUUCAUCUAUGUAAAACACAAAAAUGUGGACAAGAAACAUGAAUGUCCAGCUCCAGAUUGUCAGCGAUCUGUAGCGUGCUGAGCAGAGGACAGUGUGGUGGAAAUACCUAUGAAGCAGUGAGAGCCUUAUCAAGGUACUGUACCAGGAAAUACACAAACACACCGCUCUCUUUCCUACUGCAUGCACGAUACUGUGAUUAAAGGCAGCAGCACGCCUCAUCAUAACAUGUGCCUUAUCAGCCCCACUAUCUGAUGACAGCAGCAGCCCUGGGGAGACCAGACUGACAUCAUCCAAAACCUCAGGAGUUCAAGACUUGAGUAGGUAGCCAGGCUGCAAGCUGUGCUUGGCCGUUGUUGUAAUUCGGUAUAUGAGGUAUAAGAACUGAAAUCAGGAUCCUGUAACCUCCUUCCUGCAAACCCCAGUUCCUGUCUCCCUUUCCGGUCCUGUGGCCUUCCCCUGUGUCCUUGUACCCACCGGGGGUCGGGUAUUCCGGCCCUUGUCCCCUCUGUGUCUUCAUCCCAUUGGCAGCUAGCCAAGGACACUCCCAUUCCCCUCUCCUGAAUACCUGUACCCCAGAGAAACUCGGCCUCUUUCCGGCCAUACCAUCGCCCAGGAAUAAACUAAGACUGAAAGAGCCUCUUUGUAUCCUUCUCCAUCCAUGAUGCGAUACUGUGUCUGAUCUUAAGUAAUUAGGAAAAAGACACAGAAUAUCAGCGUCAGGCCGUGUUGAUCUGUUUGUACUAAACUUGCAGGUACUUUGCUGGAGGAAAAGGAAUACAAAAAUCAAGCCCAAGCAAUGUUUCAGAAUGUUCCCGACAGGCUGUCGUGCUGUUUAGCAAAUGAAUGCAGCAAGCAAAGGAGGUUUUUGUCCUCAGCAAGUACCACAAGUCUGUUCUACAGCUUUCUGUAGAUUUGAGAGGAGGGGGGAAAAGGUCCAACCAAGACAUUGUCACUGCCUUGAGGACGGUGCCAGUGGUGCUUUGGUACGAGCCCCACUCCCAGCUGACCCAGAUUCAGUGAGGUUUAGGUCCAUCCUGUAUCACAAAUUGGGGCCAGCUGUUGAUCCAGGUGGAACUCUGAACCUCCAGAUACUAAACUUCAUCCUGGCUGGUUCAUUGCCAGUCUUCUUGUUUGGUUACUGCUGCUUCACUGAGGCAAAGCAUACUGGCUCUGGCCUUCUGGCCUCCUUUCUGUAAUUUACAAUGAGAAUUUUUACAGUCACAAAAAUAAGAAUCAGAAAAUAGAGUAGGCUUUUCUUGUGUAACAUUCAGCAAACUUCUCUGCUUUUAAUUUGUUCUCCCUGUCCUGGGUUCUUCAAAACACCUUCUCUCAUUGACGUCAGUGUAGAUUUACCACACCCCGGUUAUUUCAGACCUGGAUAGCACCAUGGAAAAAGAUUACCAGUCUUCUGGAGCUGCUUCCUUAUGCUUUGGACAAAAGGAGAUCAUGUGGGACCGCAUUCAUUCAAGAACUGCCCUUGUAUUUGUACAGAACCUAACACGAGUGAGCUUACUCCUCCUUGAAGUUUGCUGUGCUACGAAAUUGUUCUUGAAAACAACACCCUGCUUUUAA